GGAAAACCAUUGGUCUACUGCUCUUACACUAAACUAAUAACUCUGUUGUUCCGUCCACGCCAUUCUAAUUGGUGGUUACACAUACAUUUGUUUAUUUUAAUUAUCAUAGUUCAUCUUUUACUAUUGUCUUGCAUAGUUUCCCCAUUUAACAAUCAUAAUAAAUUAUCUAUUUUUUGUUUGUCAGCUUAUCUUCUCCUUCCUUCUCUGCUUCCAGACGAGUUCAUCUCUUAGUUACAAACUCAGACUAGGCGGUCAACAAGAUUUAGAGGAAUCCCCAGUCGUGGUCACAGGUUUGAGCAAACGACAACAACUUUUGCUGUCACUAAUAUGGACUAUUUCAUCGCUGGGAAUACUAGAGAUCCUACAAGCAAUGAUUGAUAAUGGCAUAUAUUACACAAAAAUAAAAAUGAACACAAAUGUUUACUGCUGCUCUUUUUUUCUUUCAAAGUGUUAAUUCUGGUUCUUUGUGAUCUUACAAGAAUAUGCUUCUCUCUCACUUGUCUUAUGU